rnacentral:tRNA from 1 species
GGGCCUAUAGUUCAGUGGUAGAAUUUUCCUCUCCAAAAGGAAAGACCGGGGUUCGAAUCCUCGUGGGCCCGCCA